rnacentral:rRNA from 1 species
AACCUCCGCAAUGUGAGAAAUCGCGACGGGGGGAUCCCAAGUGCCAUUCUUAACGGGAUGGCUUUUCAUUAGUGUAAAGAGCUUUUGGAAUAAGAGCUGGGCAAGACCGGUGCCAGCCGCCGCGGUAACACCGGCAGCUCUAGUGGUAACAAUUUUUAUUGGGCCUAAAGCGUCCGUAGCCGGUUUAAUAAGUCUCUGGUGAAAUCCUGUAGCUUAACUGUGGGAAUUGCUGGAGAUACUAUUAGACUUGAGACCGGGAGAGGUUAGAGGUACUCCCAGGGUAGAGGUGAAAUUCUGUAAUCCUGGGAGAACCGCCUGUUGCGAAGGCGUCUAACUGGAACGGUUCUGACGGUGAGGGACGAAAGUUAGGGGCGCGAACCGGAUUAGAUACCCGGGUAGUCCUAACUGUAAACGAUGCGGACUUGGUGUUGGGGUGGCUUUGAGCUGCUCCAGUGCCGGAAGGAAGCUGUUAAGUCCGCCGCCUGGGAAGUACGGUCGCAAGACUAAAACUUAAAGGAAUU